rnacentral:rRNA from 1 species
GACUACUGGGGUAUCUAAUCCUGUUUGCUCCCCACGCUUUCGCACCUCAGCGUCAGUAUCGGACCAGUUAGCCGCCUUCGCCACUGGUGUUCUUCCCAAUAUCUACGAAUUUCACCUCUACACUGGGAAUUCCACUAACCUCUUCCGAUCUCUAGACUACCAGUAUCAAAGGCAGUUCCGGAGUUGAGCUCCGGGAUUUCACCCCUGACUUAAUAGCCCGCCUACGUGCGCUUUACGCCCAGUAAUUCCGAACAACGCUAGCCCCCUUCGUAUUACCGCGGCUGCUGGCACGAAGUUUGCCGGGGCUUAUUCUCCAGGUACCGUCAUUAUCGUCCCUGGUAAAAGAGCUUUACAAUCCGAAGACCUUCUUCACUCACGCGGCAUGGCUGGAUCAGGCUUGCGCCCAUUGUCCAAGAUUCCCCACUGCAGCCCCCCGUAGG